ensembl:lncRNA
GAGACAGAGGAGGAAUUUCGGGCGAAAGGCUGAGACAACGAAAACAGCUGCGAGCACACCAAAAAAAAAAAGGACAGGCACAGAGAGAGAGGAAGGGGACGUAGCUUAGUCAGUCGACAAGCGAGCUAUGUGGCAGGACAGAGUGGGAGGACGAGACUGAAAUUGACCGAGUGUUUCAUCAGAUACACGGCUAGCUGUACGUGGCUAACGAGUUUUAGCUUCGAAUUUUGGCGUUUUUCACGGUAGCUACCUGGAAACCGACAAAGCAUCACUGAACACGGCAGGGAGAUAAAAGGCCAAACUCCCAGACGACAGAGACGCGUCACUUCAGACUCCUUGAGUCCACCUUUUGUUUUUAAUAAGGAGGAAGGAAGCGAAAAGAGGGAGACAACAAACUGGAGGAGUGAGGCAGUCUGACCCAGUGGAAGCAGAAACGACAGAGGAAGACAGAAAGAGAGAAAAGAAAGCCACCAGAUGAAAUAGAGGAAGGAAGGGGGACAGUGACACGGCGAGAUAAACCCCCAUCUUUCUGAAAGGGCAGCGUGUGAAGGGUGGACCGAGGACAGAGCACAGCUGAGUGGCCAGACAUGAGAGAUGUCACAAAAGGGCCCAUUCAAGAUGACUGCUUAUGUCAGCGAUCCAAAAUAAAUCAUUUCAGAUCUAUAACAGGGCAGAAAAUUAACCCAAUCCAAACACGAUGUCAGGGUUAGUGGGUGAAUCACUGGCUCACUGUCAGGUUUGCGUGUUAUGCAACAUACUUAAAUAACUCAC